rnacentral:tRNA from 2 species
GCGAGUGUAGCUCAAUGGCAGAGCGACAGCCUUCCAAGCUGUAUAUGAGGGUUCGAUUCCCUUCACUCGCUCCA